rnacentral:rRNA from 1 species
UAAAAUUAUUUUUAAUAAUAUAUUAGAAAUGAAAUGUUAUUCGUUUUUAAAGGUAUCUAGUUCUUUAAGAAAUAAAUUUAAUUUAGAAAUUUUAUAAUUAUUUAAUUAAAUUUUUAAUUAUAUAAAUAUUUAAUUUUAAUAUUUUAUGGGAUAAGCUAUAAAAUAAAUUUUUAAAAAUUAAUAAAAUAUUUUAAUAAAUAUAAACUUAGAAAUAGUUAAUAUUAAUAAAAAUGUUAUAAUUUAUUUAAUUAAUUAUAUUAUUUAUUUUAUUUUAAAUUUUUAUUAAGGUAUUUAUUUUAAUUUUAAAAAUAAAAUAAUAAUGAUAAAAUUAGUAUAUAAAUAUAUAUAUAUAUAUAUAUAUAUAUAAUUGUGUAUAUAUAUAUAUUUGAAAAGUUUAUAUAAAGAAUUCGGCAAAAAUAAUAUUCGCCUGUUUAACAAAAACAUGUCUUUUUAGUUUAUAUAGAAAGUUUAACCUGCCCACUGAAAAUUUAAAUGGCCGCAGUAUUUUAACUGUGCAAAGGUAGCAUAAUCAUUAGUCUUUUAAUUGGAGGCUGGUAUGAAUGGUUGGACGAAAUAUUAACUGUUUCAUAAUAAAUUUAAUUUAGAAUUUUAUUUUUUAGUUAAAAAGCUAAAAUUUAUUUAAAAGACGAGAAGACCCUAUAAAUCUUUAUAUUUAAAUUAUAAUAUAUAAUUUUAGAUUUUUUUUUUAUUAUUUUAAUUAAUAAUAUUUUAUUGGGGUGAUAUUAAAAUUUACAAAACUUUUAAUUUUUUUUUUCAUUAAUUUAUGAUUUAUUGAUCCAUUUUUAAUGAUUAAAAAAUUAAGUUACUUUAGGGAUAACAGCGUAAUUUUUUUGGAAAGUUCUUAUUGAUAAAAAAGAUUGCGACCUCGAUGUUGGAUUAAGAUAUAAUUUUAGGUGUAGUAGCUUAAAUUUUAAGUCUGU